rnacentral:rRNA from 1 species
CAGCAGCCACGGUAACACGUAGGUGGCAAGCGUUGUCCGGAAUUAUUGGGCGUAAAGCGCGCGCAGGUGGUUUAAUAAGUCUGAUGUGAAAGCCCACGGCUCAACCGUGGAGGGUCAUUGGAAACUGUUAAACUUGAGUGCGGGAGAGAAAAGUGGAAUUCCUAGUGUAGCGGUGAAAUGCGUAGAGAUUAGGAGGAACACCAGUGGCGAAGGCGGCUUUUUGGCCUGUAACUGACACUGAGGCGCGAAAGCGUGGGGAGCAAACAGGAUUAGAGACCCCCGUAGUCCCUGUCUCUUAUAC